ensembl:snoRNA
UGGCUCGGUUUCCUGGGGGGUGGGCGCAGCCUACACCACCUCCCCUCAGACGAGCCUAGAGUAGAGAGGCUGGGCCUCCUUCCCCAGGGGAGAGGCAUUGGAGAAAGGGGCCUCGCCUGGGCUGUCCAGCCUCACAUGC